GACGAACGCUGGCGGCGUGCUUAACACAUGCAAGUCGAACGGUGAAGCGAGUGCUUGCACUCGUGGAUCAGUGGCGAACGGGUGAGUAACACGUGAGUAACCUGCCCAUCACUCUGGGAUAAGCACUGGAAACGGUAUCUAAUACUGGAUACGACCAACCCUUGCAUGGGGUGUUGGUGGAAAGAUUUAUCGGUGAUGGAUGGACUCGCGGCCUAUCAGCUUGUUGGCGGGGUAAUGGCCCACCAAGGCGACGACGGGUAGCCGGCCUGAGAGGGUGACCGGCCACACUGGGACUGAGACACGGCCCAGACUCCUACGGGAGGCAGCAGUGGGGAAUAUUGCACAAUGGGCGAAAGCCUGAUGCAGCGACGCCGCGUGAGGGAUGACGGCCUUCGGGUUGUAAACCUCUUUCAGCAGGGAAGAAGCGAAAGUGACGGUACCUGCAGAAGAAGCACCGGCUAACUACGUG
rnacentral:rRNA from 1 species